AAUGCCAGUCGAGCGGUAGAGAGAAGCUUGCUUCUCUUGAGAGCGGCGGACGGGUGAGCCUUCCUGGGAAUCUGCCUGGUAGUGGGGGAUAACGUUCGGAAACGGACGCUAAUACCGCAUACGUCCUACGGGAGAAAGCAGGGGAUCUUCGGACCUUGCGCUAUCAGAUGAGCCCAGGUCGGAUUAGCUAGUAGGUGGGGUAAAGGCUCACCUAGGCAACGAUCCGUAACUGGUCUGAGAGGAUGAUCAGUCACACUGGAACUGAGACACGGUCCAGACUCCUACGGGAGGCAGCAGUGGGGAAUAUUGGACAAUGGGCGAAAGCCUGAUCCAGCCAUGCCGCGUGUGUGAAGAAGGUCUUCGGAUUGUAAAGCACUUUAAGUUGGGAGGAAGGGUUGUAGUUUAAUACGCUGCAAUCUUGACGUUACCGACAGAAUAAGCACCGGCUAACUCUGUGCCAGCAGCCGCGGUAAUACAGAGGGUGCAAGCGUUAAUCGGAAUUACUGGGCGUAAAGCGCGCGUAGGUGGCUAAGUAAGAUGGGUGUGAAAUCCCCGGGCUCAACCUGGGAACUGCAUCCAUAACUGCUUAGCUAGAGUACGGUAGAGGGUAGUGGAAUUUCCUGUGUAGCGGUGAAAUGCGUAGAUAUAGGAAGGAACACCAGUGGCGAAGGCGACUACCUGGACUGAUACUGACACUGAGGUGCGAAAGCGUGGGGAGCAAACAGGAUUAGAUACCCUGGUAGUCCACGCCGUAAACGAUGUCAACUAGCCGUUGGGAACCUUGAGUUCUUAGUGGCGCAGCUAACGCACUAAGUUGACCGCCUGGGGAGUACGGUCGCAAGAUUAAAACUCAAAUGAAUUGACGGGGGCCCGCACAAGCGGUGGAGCAUGUGGUUUAAUUCGAAGCAACGCGAAGAAACCUUACCUGGGCUUUGACAUGCUGAGAACUUUCCAGAGAUGGAUUGGUGCCUUCGGGAAC
rnacentral:rRNA from 1 species